rnacentral:rRNA from 1 species
UACAGAGGGUGCAAGCGUUGUUCGGAAUUAUUGGGCGUAAAGAGCUCGUAGGCGGUUUGUUGCGUCGGCUGUGAAAUCCCGAGGCUCAACCUCGGGUCUGCAGUCGAUACGAGCAAACUAGAGUGUUGCAGGGGAGACUGGAAUUCCUGGUGUAGCGGUGAAAUGCGCAGAUAUCAGGAGGAACACCGAUGGCGAAGGCAGGUCUCUGGGCCACUACUGACGCUGAGAAGCGAAAGCAUGGGGAGCGAACAGG